rnacentral:rRNA from 1 species
AUGGUCACCUGCCUCUCUGAUCUUAUUAGUGACCAUUCCAUUGACUUCUUAGGAUUACAAGACCUUAAAAGGAUUUCUCCCAAACUUCUUGAGAGACUCGACCCCUUUAACAAUUUCCAUUGGGAGUGGGUCCCUACAACUGGAAAAUCUGGUGGUAUCCUUUGUGGUGUUCGCAUUAGUAACCUGGAGAUGUUAACCUGCAUCAAGGGCAAAUACAUUUUACCGUUGAACAUCACGGAUCUUAAGAUAAAUAAUAUUUGGAGUCUUUUGGUGGUUUAUGGGUAUGCUCAUGAGGAGCACAGGGAGGAAUUCCUGAUGGAAUUGGGUUCCUUUUGUCAUAACACUGAUAUACCUUAUAUUGUUGGUGGGGAUUUUAACAUUUUAAGACACAAUGAAGAGAAGAACAAAAAGAUGCAUCGAUCUAAAUCUACAGAUCUCUUCAACUCCAUUAUUAACACUCUUGGGCUCAGGGAGAUCUAUAUGAGUGAGGGAAAAUAUAGUUGGGCUAAUAACCAAUCACAUCCUACCCUGGAAAAAUUGGAUAGGGUGCUUAUGUCUAACUCCUGGGAGGAGAUGUUUCCCAUGGUUUCUGUGAGGAAAUUGGCCAGAGACUUAUCUGACCAUAACCCCUUUCUGUUGUGCACUGGAGAUGAGAAAAAGGAACCCACUAAAGCUCGUGAGUUUUGUUUUGAUCUUUCCUGGUUGAAAGAUGAUAUGUUCCUGGCCUGGUGGCUAAGAUUUGGAACAGAAAUGUCACAGGCUCGGACCCCAUUGACAUACUUAACAACUAACAUUAAACUUAAAAGGUUCAAAACUUACUUUAAAGGGUGGAGCUCGAAUAAAUUUGGGCAACUUUAA